rnacentral:rRNA from 1 species
UACGUAGGGGGCAAGCGUUGUCCGGAAUCAUUGGGCGUAAAGAGCGUGUAGGCGGCCCGAUAAGUCCGCUGUGAAAGUCCAGGGCUCAACCCUGGGAUGCCGGUGGAUACUGUCGGGCUCGAGUCCGGAAGAGGAGUGUGGAAUUCCUGGUGUAGCGGUGAAAUGCGCAGAUAUCAGGAGGAACACCGGUGGCGAAGGCGGCUCUCUGGAACGCAACUGACGCUGAGACGCGAAAGCGUGGGGAGCAAACAGG